AUAUAAGUACGGAAACAUCAGUUUGUACUUGAUAUAAGUGUAGUGGUAGAGUCAUGUGAAAGCUAGAGUAGUUUUUGCAUUUUUAUAUAUUCUAAUAGGUCAUCCUUUCAGUACAUAAUUACAGUUUUGAUGGUUUUUUUCCCCUCAGGUAUUGAAAAAACACCUGUUUCUACUCAUACCCGGGGCAGUCAUUUGAAGCGGCCAAAGAUUGGAAAGAGAUUUCAGGAAUCUGAAUUCACUGGUUCUCAAGGUGAAGAUGAAAAAACUGCCCAGACUUCACCUGCAGCCUCAAUAAAUAAAUUGGAGUCCACUGUGCAUGCAUCAGAGAGCUCAGAAGACUUCCUGGAAGAAAAUCCAGAGCAGAGAGCAACUGAUUUUGAGGAUGAAAGGGAUAAAAAUGCACGCCCUACACCCGAAACGCAGCCACACCUGGAGAAGCAAGAUGGUGAAAAAGAUUCUGAAUUGGAGCCUAUGAAUGGUGAGAUAAUGGAUGAUACUCUUAAGACCUCACUUGUAACUGAAGAGGAAGACUCCUGUAGUGAAGAAGAAUUAAAAGUGCAGUCUUCUAAUUCCAGUGAAGAUACUGCAAAUAGUGUUCCGCUGGUGGUAGAGUCUUCAAAACCCCCUGAGACUGUGGCACUGGAUAAAACCCAACACGUAGCUGACUCAGAAACGUUGAUAGCCCAAGGCCCAUCUGAUGACAAGGCACACACCGAGGAGAAACUGCCCCCAGUUCUGAGAAAGAAAACACAUUUGGGGAAUUCAGACAAUGUUGAAGAACGAGGUGACAGUGGUCUUCCGAACUCUGUGAUAGCUGAAUUGUCUGAAGAACCAGUAUCUGAGAAUUUAUCACCCAACACUACUUCAUCAAUGGAAGACCAGGGUGAGGAGGGGCCUGAGCCCCAGGAAACCUCUACUGCUCUUCCUCAGAGUUCUUUAAUAGAGGUGGAACUUGAAGAUGUGCCAUUUUCACAGUAUGCAGGACAGAAGAACCAGUCAGAGGAGCAGUCUGAAGCGUCAUCGGAGCAACUGGAUCAGUUUACGCAGUCAACAGAAAAAGCUGUGGAUAGCAGCUCAGAGGAGGUUGAAGUGGAAGUGCCUGUGGUGGACAGGCGGAAUUUAAGAAGAAAGGCCAAAGGGCAUAAAGGACCCGCCAAGAAGAAAGCCAAGCUGACCUGA
rnacentral:lncRNA from 1 species